rnacentral:rRNA from 1 species
AUGCACCACCCACACGCCAGGCCGGUGUGGAGCGAGAUGCAAUCUUCAUCGCCUUCUCCAGCGCGACACGACAUCGACACUUGGUUGCCGCAAGGGACGCCUUCAAGCGACACAUCGUCGACAUGCCGCUAUACUCAAGAAGAACAAAAGAAGACCGCAGAUUUUGCGGACUGGAUUCUAAAUAUUGGAGAUGGAUUAGUUGGAAAUAAAGAAGAAGAGGCAUGGGUACAUAUACCAGAGGAUUUACUACUUCAGAAAGGAGAGAACCAAUUCGAAACUAUCAUCAACAGCACCUAUCCAAACCUAUGGACAAACUACAUGAACAGAACAUACUUAGAAGAGAGAGCCAUCUUAUGUCCAAGAAAUGAGAUGGUCGAUGAGGUAAAUUCUUACAUCAUGGGUAGAAUAGAAGACCAUUUGUACCCAACAGAAUUCCUAAAUAGCUUGAAGUGCCCUGGAAUACCAGACCACGAAAUACGGCUGAAAGUUGGACUGUCGGUAAUGCUGCUACGAAAUAUCAACCAAAGCGAGGGCUUAUCCAAUGGUACGAGACUAACUAUAACACAGCUAGGCAAAUGGUUCAUAGAAGCUCACAUAAUAACAGGGACAAACAUUGGAAACAAGGUAUAUAUUCCAAGGAUUAUUAUGUCACCAAGUGACUCAAAAUGGCCGUUUGUGUUGAAAAGGAGGCAGUACCCAAUAUCAGUUUGUUUUGCAAUGACGAUAAAUAAGAGUCAAGGGCAGUCGCUAAAACAUGUGGGGCUAUAUUUACCAAAGCAGGUGUUCACACACGGCCAACUCUAUGUAGCGGUAUCAAGAGUCACAAGUAGAGAUGGACUUAAAGUUUUAAUUUCAGAUGAAGAAUCUAAGGAAAAUUAUUCGGCAAAAGGUAUUGUGUACAAGGAGGUCCUUCAGUCAAGAGACCUUAGAAUAUUUCUAUUAUAG